AUGCAUCGACAGGAGGUGCCCUUGGUGAACGUCUUCUUGGAAGGCGUGAAGAGCGACCCCGAGGCCCUGGCAAAGACUCCAGCUUCAUCCUUCGUGGACCGGGCCCAAAAGACGAUCCUCACUUCUGCCUAUGUAAGUGUUUAGGCCCUUUCCGAAUGUAUUUGUGUUGGAUUAUUUUUGUAUCAACUGACUAACAUGAUUUUGCUUUGGCAGGCGUUUGGCGAGAUGUACGUCAGCAUGGCCAAGGCUGACAAGGAGAUCCAGAGGCUGAAGAGGCGAGAUCAGCAGGCCAAGACCAAAGUGGCGGAGGCAGAGGAGGCCAUCCGAGAGAAGAACGCCUUGCUGGCGUAAAAGGCGGCCCUGGCCAAGGAGGUGGCGGCUCGGACCAAGGAGGUGGAGGAGCUGAAGAGGGCGAAGGCCGAGGAGGUGGCUGCGGUCCGAGUCGAGGCGAUCGAGUCCUACCGAUCCUCAGAGGAGCUGAAGAGUUAUAUCAUGGAUCGGCUGGUUGAUGAGCAGCUUCGUUGGGAAGACAGGUUGGUGAGGUUCAACCCCUCACUGGAUAUUAACUUUGACACCAGCGGCGAGCCUCCUGCCCAGACCCCUCCUGCUGAUGCUAGCACCCCGACACCUGAGGCAGAGCCGGCUAUUGAGGAUGCACCGUCGACCGAGUCCUGAAGGCGUUGCCUUCGUUAUUUUGUACUUUAGUUAAUUUGUUGAGACAUUUUGCCUUGCAUGGAGGAAGGUGGUUUAUUUUGGUUAUGUAUGAACCUGUCCUUGCCUGGAGCAAGGCUGUUUUUUAUUUAUGA
rnacentral:lncRNA from 1 species